rnacentral:rRNA from 1 species
UACGGGGGGAGCAAGCGUUGUUCGGAUUUACUGGGCGUAAAGGGCGGGUAGGCGGCCGCCGCAAGUCGACUGUGAAAUCUCCGGGCUUAACCCGGAAAGGUCAGCCGAUACUGCGGGGCUAGAGUGCAGAAGGGGCAACUGGAAUUCUCGGUGUAGCGGUGAAAUGCGUAGAUAUCGAGAGGAACACCUGCGGCGAAGGCGGGUUGCUGGGCCGACACUGACGCUGAGGCGCGAAAGCCAGGGGAGCGAACGGG